rnacentral:rRNA from 1 species
GUGGGGAAUAUUGCACAAUGGGGGAAACCCUGAUGCAGCGACGCCGCGUGAGCGAUGAAGUAUUUCGGUAUGUAAAGCUCUAUCAGCAGGGAAGAAAAUGACGGUACCUGACUAAGAAGCCCCGGCUAACUACGUGCCAGCAGCCGCGGUAAUACGUAGGGGGCAAGCGUUAUCCGGAUUUACUGGGUGUAAAGGGAGCGUAGACGGCGGUGCAAGCCAGAUGUGAAAGCCCGGGGCUCAACCCCGGGACUGCAUUUGGAACUGUGCUGCUAGAGUGUCGGAGAGGCAGGCGGAAUUCCUAGUGUAGCGGUGAAAUGCGUAGAUAUUAGGAGGAACACCAGUGGCGAAGGCGGCCUGCUGGACGAUGACUGACGUUGAGGCUCGAAAGCGUGGGGAGCAAACAGG